AGGGCACCACCAGGAGUGGAGCCUGCGGCUUAAUUUGACUCAACACGGGAAAACUCACCCGGCCCGGACACUGGAAGGAUUGACAGAUUGAGAGCUCUUUCUUGAUUCAGUGGGUGGUGGUGCAUGGCCGUUCUUAGUUGGUGGAGUGAUUUGUCUGGUUGAUUCCGAUAACGAACGAGACUCUAGCCUAUUAAAUAGAUCGUUGGCUUACAAACGCCGGCGAGACUUCUUAGAGGGACAGGCGGCGAUUCAGCCGCACGAAACAGAGCAAUAACAGGUCUGUGAUGCCCUUAGAUGUCCGGGGCCGCACGCGCGCUACACUGAAGUGAUCAGCGUGCAUUUUGAAACCUACUCUGUCAAGAGUGGGGAACCCAAUGAACCUUCUUCGUGAUUGGGAUAGGGGAUUGUAAUUAUUCCCCUUGAACGAGGAAUUCCCAGUAAGCGCGAAUCAUAAGUUUGCGCUGAUUACGUCCCUGCCCUUUGUACACACCGCCCGUCGCUACUACCGAUUGAAUGUUU
rnacentral:rRNA from 1 species